rnacentral:rRNA from 1 species
AGUGAACGCUGGCGGUAGGCCUAACACAUGCAAGUCGAACGGCAGCACAGUAAGAUCUUGCUCUUACGGGUGGCGAGUGGCGGACGGGUGAGGCAUACAUCGGAUUCUACUUUUUCGUGGGGGAUAUCGUAGGGAAACUUACGCUACUACCUCAUACGACCUACGGGUGAAAGCAGGGGAUCUUCGGACCUUGCGCGAUUGAAUGAGCCGAUGUCGGAUUAGCUAGUUGGCGGGGUAAAGGCCCACCAAGGCGACGAUCCGUAGCUGGUCUGAGAGGAUGAUCAGCCACACUGGAACUGAGACACGGUCCAGACUCCUACGGGAGGCAGCAGUGGGGAAUAUUGGACAAUGGGCGCAAGCCUGAUCCAGCAAUGCCGCGUGGGUGAAGAAGGUCUUCGGGUUGUAAAGCCCUUUUGUUGGGAAAGAAAAACAGCAUGUUUAAACCCCGAUGUUCUGACGGUACCCAAAGAGUAAGCACCGGCUAACUUCGUG